rnacentral:rRNA from 1 species
GACGAACGCUGGCGGCGUGCUUAACACAUGCAAGUCGAACGGAAAGGCCCUGCUUUUGUGGGGUGCUCGAGUGGCGAACGGGUGAAUAACACGUGAGUAACCUGCCCUUGACUUUGGGAUAACUUCAGGAAACUGGGGCUAAUACCGGAUAGGAGCUCCUGCUGCAUGGUGGGGGUUGGAAAGUUUCGGCGGUUGGGGAUGGACUCGCGGCUUAUCAGCUUGUUGGUGGGGUAGUGGCUUACCAAGGCUUUGACGGGUAGCCGGCCUGAGAGGGUGACCGGCCACAUUGGGACUGAGAUACGGCCCAGACUCCUACGGGAGGCAGCAGUGGGGAAUAUUGCACAAUGGGCGGAAGCCUGAUGCAGCAACGCCGCGUGCGGGAUGACGGCCUUCGGGUUGUAAACCGCUUUCGCCUGUGACGAAGCGCGAGUGACGGUAAUGGGUAAAGAAGCACCGGCUAACUACGUG